rnacentral:rRNA from 1 species
UCCUACGGGAGGCAGCAGUGGGGAAUUUUCCGCAAUGGGCGAAAGCCUGACGGAGCAAUACCGCGUGAGGGAAGACGGCCUAUGGGUUGUAAACCUCUUUUUUCAGGGAGGAAUUUUGACGUGUACCUGAAGAAUAAGCAUCGGCUAACUCCGUGCCAGCAGCCGCGGUAAGACGGAGGAUGCAAGUGUUAUCCGGAAUCACUGGGCGUAAAGCGUCUGUAGGUGGUUGAACAAGUCAACUGUUAAAUCUUGAGGCUCAACUUCAAAAUCGCAGUCGAAACUAUUAGACUAGAGUAUAGUAGGGGUAAAGGGAAUUUCCAGUGGAGCGGUGAAAUGCGUAGAGAUUGGAAAGAACACCGAUGGCGAAGGCACUUUACUGGGCUAUUACUGACACUCAGAGACGAAAGCUAGGGUAGCAAAUGGGAUUAGAUACCCCAGUAGUCCUAGCUGUAAACAAUGGAUACUAGAUGUUGAACAGAUCGACCUGUGCAGUAUCAAAGCUAACGCGUUAAGUAUCCCGCCUGGGAAGUAUGCUCGCAAGAGUGAAACUCA